CCUACGGGAGGCAGCAGUUGGGAAUUUUGCACAAUGGACGAAAGUCUGAUGCAGCAACGCCGCGUGCGGGAUGAAGAUUUUCGGAUUGUAAACCGCUUUUAUUUGGGAGUAACUGUUUGAACGUACCAAAUGAAUAAGCACCGGCUAACUCCGUGCCAGCAGCCGCGGUAAUACGGAGGGUGCAAACGUUGUCCGGAAUUACUGGGCGUAAAGCGCAUGUAGGUGGUCUAAUAAGUGAACGAUUAAAUACCGACGCUUAACGUCGGAAAGGUUAUUCAUACUGUUAGACUCGAGGAAGACAGGGGCAGAUGGAACUUUAAGUGUAGGAGUGAUAUCCGUAGAUAUUUAAAGGAACACCAAUGGCGAAGGCAGUCUGCUGGGUCUUUUCUGACACUGAGAUGCGAAAGUGUGGGGAGCAAACGGGAUUAGAUACCCCGGUAGUCCACACUGUAAACGAUGCUCACUAGGUCUUGGAGGGUAUCGACCCCCUUUUGGACCGAAGCUAACGCGUUAAGUGAGCCGCCUGGGGAGUCGAACGCAAGUUUAAAACCNAAUNAUAGAGCGNGAGANGCGACGCGACACGAGGGAGAGG
rnacentral:rRNA from 1 species